UCCGGAUGGCUCGAGUUUUUCAGCAGAUUCAUCUAUGUCGGGUGUCAUCUAUGUCGGGUGUCAUCUAUGUCGGGUGUCAUCUAUGUCGCUAGACUCUUGUGUAGGGGGGUAGAAUUCCAGGUGUAGCGGUGAAAUGCGUAUAGAUCUGGAGGAAUACCGGUGGCGAAGGCGGCCCCCUGGACAAAGACUGACGCUCAGGUGCGAAAGCGUGGGGAGCAAACAGGAUUAGAUACCCUGGUAGUCCACGCCGUAAACGAUGUCGACUUGGAGGUUGUGCCCUUGAGGCGUGGCUUCCGGAGCUAACGCGUUAAGUCGACCGCCUGGGGAGUACGGCCGCAAGGUUAAAACUCAAAUGAAUUGACGGGGGCCCGCACAAGCGGUGGAGCAUGUGGUUUAAUUCGAUGCAACGCGAAGAACCUUACCUACUCUUGACAUCCAGAGAACUUUCCAGAGAUGGAUUGGUGCCUUCGGGAACUCUGAGACAGGUGCUGCAUGGCUGUCGUCAGCUCGUGUUGUGAAAUGUUGGGUUAAGUCCCGCAACGAGCGCAACCCUUAUCCUUUGUUGUCAGCGGUCCGGCCGGGAACUCAAAGGAGACUGCCAGUGAUAAACUGGAGGAAGGUGGGGAUGACGUCNAGUCAUCAUGGCCCUUACGAGUAGGGCUACACACGUGCUACAAUGGCGCAUACAAAGAGAAGCGACCUCGCGAGAGCAAGCGGACCUCAUAAAGUGCGUCGUAAUCCGGAUUGGAGUCUGCAACUCGACUCCAUGAAGUCGGAAUCGCUAGUAAUCGUAGAUCAGAAUGCUACGUGAAUACGUUCCCGGGCUUGUACACACCGCCCGUCACACCAUGGGAGUGGGUUGCAAAAGAGUAGUAGCUUAACCUUCUGGAGGGCGCUUACACUUUGUGAUCAUGAUGGGUGNNU
rnacentral:rRNA from 1 species